AAGAAUAUAAUGGUCGAACAGACCAAAAAGAUGAAAAUCUACCCCCACCCCUUAUCUUAAUUCAACAUCGAGGUCGCAAACCUUUCUAUCGAUAUGAACUCUCCAAAAAGAUUACGCUGUUAUCCCUAAGGUAGGUUAAUCUUCUAAUCAAAAAUUCUGGAUCAAAAAAACAUAAAUUAAUGAAAAUUUAUAAUAAAAGUUAAUAAAAUUUUAUUGUCACCCCAACAAAACUAAUUUUUCUAAAAAAUAAAUUAAUCAACAAAAAAACAUAAUUUAUAAAAUUAGUAAACCUCUAUAGGGUCUUCUCGUCCUAUAAAAAAAUUUCAGCUUUUUAACUAAAAAAUUAAAUUCAAAUUAAUUAUAUAAAGAAAGAUUAUUUCUCAUCAAACCAUUCAUUCUAGCCUCCAAUUAAAAGACAAAUGAUUAUGCUACCUUCGUACAGUUAAAAUACCGCAGCCUUUUAAUAUUUUAAAUCAAUGGGCAGGCCCAAUCUUGUUUUAAAAACCAA
rnacentral:rRNA from 1 species